ACAAACAUACUGCCCUAUCUUAAGUCCUCAAACCUCAGUCGACUCUCUACCUUCACUCUCAAAGAAUGAAGCAAUCUUGCAAGGCACUAUUGAACACAUCACAUUCAACUGGAAAAGAUCCAACUGGUCUAGAUCUUCAAAAAGUCAUCCCCCACUCUCUGGCAUGCCUACGUAGCUGAAGUGCAACAAAAAAAACACCACGAGCAUCAACCAAACCCC
rnacentral:lncRNA from 1 species